CCUACGGGAGGCAGCAGUGAGGAAUAUUGGUCAAUGGCCGUAAGGCUGAACCAGCCAAGUCGCGUGAGGGAAGACUGUACUGUGGGUUGUAAACCUCUUUUAUGCGGGGAUAAAGGUGUCCACGUGUGGAUGUUUGCAUGUACCGCAUGAAUAAGCACCGGCUAAUUCCGUGCCAGCAGCCGCGGUAAUACGGAAGGUCCGGGCGUUAUCCGGAUUUAUUGGGUUUAAAGGGAGCGUAGGCCGGUCUUUAAGCGUGCGGUGAAAGUUUGGGGCUCAACCAUGGGAGUGCGGUGCGAACUGGAGGCAUUGAGUGCGCGGAAGGCAGGCGGAAUGCGUGGUGUAGCGGUGAAAUGCUUAGAUAUCGCGCAGAACCCCGAUUGCGAAGGCAGCCUGCCGCAGCCACACUGACGCUGAGGCUCGAAAGCGUGGGUAUCGAACAGGAUUAGAUACCCGAGUAGUC
rnacentral:rRNA from 1 species